rnacentral:rRNA from 1 species
CCUACGGGUGGCUGCAGUGAGGAAUAUUGGUCAAUGGGCGCGAGCCUGAACCAGCCAAGUCGCGUGAGGGAAGACGGUCCUAUGGAUUGUAAACCUCUUUUGUCGGGGAGCAAAAGACGCCACGUGUGGCGUUCCGAGAGUACCGAAGAAAAAGCAUCGGCCUACUCCGUGCCAGCAGCCGCGGUUAUACGGAGGAUGCGAGCGUUAUUCGGGUUUAUUUGGUUUAAAGGGGGCUCCGGCGGAAGAUCAAGUCAGCGGUAAAAUUGAGAGGCUCAACCUCUUCGAGCCGUUGAAACUGGUUUUCUUGAGUGAGCGAGAGGUAUGCGGAAUGCGUGGUGUAGCGGUGAAAUGCAUAGAUAUCACGCAGAACUCCGAUUGCGAAGGCAGCAUACCGGCGCUCAACUGACGCUCAUGCACGAAAGUGUGGGUAUCGAACAGGAUUAGAUACCCGAGUAGUC